GACGAACGCUGGCGGCGUGCCUAGUACAUGCAAGUAGAACGCACAGUUUAUACCGUAGCUUGCUACACCAUAGACUGUGAGUUGCGAACGGGUGAGUAACGCGUAGGUAACCUGCCUGGUAGCGGGGGAUAACUAUUGGAAACGAUAGCUAAUACCGCAUAAUAUUGAUUAUUGCAUGAUAAUUGAUUGAAAGAUGCUAUUGCAUCACUACCAGAUGGACCUGCGUUGUAUUAGCUAGUAGGUGAGGUAACGGCUCACCUAGGCGACGAUACAUAGCCGACCUGAGAGGGUGAUCGGCCACACUGGGACUGAGACACGGCCCAGACUCCUACGGGAGGCAGCAGUAGGGAAUCUUCGGCAAUAGACGAAAGUCUGACCGAGCAACGCCGCGUGAGUGAAGAAGGUUUUCGGAUCGUAAAGCUCUGUUGUAAGAGAAGAACGGGUGUGAGAGUGGAAAGUUCACACUGUGACGGUAUCUUACCAGAAAGGGACGGCUAACUACGUG
rnacentral:rRNA from 1 species